rnacentral:rRNA from 1 species
CUCUUGCUUCACAUAAGAGGUCCAGCCUGCCCAGUGAAAUUUUAACGGCCGCGGUACCCUGACCGUGCGAAGGUAGCAUAAUCACUCGUUCUCUAAAUAAGGACUUGUAUCAAUGGCAUCACGAGAGUCACACUGUCUCCUCUCUCCAAUCAGUGAACCUAAUCUCCCCGUGAAGAAGCGGGGUUACACCCAUAAGACGAGAAGACCCCAUGGAGCUUUAAACCUUAAAGCAAUUUAAAUAAAAUAUUUCCACAUAUACUUUAUUUAUGCAUGAAAGUUUUGGGUUGGGGUGACCGCGGAGCAAAAACUAACCUCCACAACGAAAAGAACUAAAUCUUUAUCUAAGAACUACUAUUCCAAGAAUCAACACACUGACGAAUACUGAUCCGAUAAUCGAUCAAUGAACCAAGUUACCCUGGGGAUAACAGCGCAAUCUACUUCGAGAGCUCAUAUCGACAAGUAGGCUUACGACCUCGAUGUUGGAUCAGGGUAUCCCAGUGGUGCAGCCGCUACUAAUGGUUCGUUUGUUCAACGAUUAAAACCC